rnacentral:rRNA from 1 species
GAUGAACGCUGGCGGCGUGCUUAACACAUGCAAGUCGAACGGAAAGGCCCUGCGUUUGCGGGGUUCUUGUGUGGCGAACGGGUGAGUAACACGUGAGUAACCUGCCCUUGACUUUGGGAUAACUUCAGGAAAAUGCGUCUAAUACAGGAUAGGAGCUCCUGCUCCAUGGUGGGGGUUGGAAAGUUUCGGCGUUGGUGGCUGGACUCGCGGCUUAUCAGCUUGUUGGUGGGGUAGUGGAUUACCAAGCCUUUGACGGGUAGCCGGCAUGAGAGGGUGACCGGCCACAUUGGGCCUGAGAGACGGCCCAGUCUCCUACGGUCGGCAGCAGUGGAGAAUAUUGCACAAUGGGCGGGAGCCUGAUGCAGCAGCGCCGCGUGCGGGAUGACGGCCUUCGGGUUGUAAACCGCUUUCGCCUGUGACGAAGCGUGAGUGACGGUAAUGGGUAAAGAAGCACCGGCUAACUACGUG